GCCGAAGUGGCGGAAUUGGCAGACGCGCGUGACUCAAAAUCACGUGUGGUGAUCCCACAUGCCGGUUCGAGUCCGGCCUUCGGCACCA
rnacentral:tRNA from 2 species